UACGGAGGGAGCUAGCGUUAUUCGGAAUUACUGGGCGUAAAGCGCACGUAGGCGGAUUUGUUAGUCAGGGGUGAAAUCCCGAGGCUCAACCUCGGAACUGCCUUUGAUACUGCAAAUCUCGAGUCCGGAAGAGGUGAGUGGAAUUCCUAGUGUAGAGGUGAAAUUCGUAGAUAUUAGGAAGAACACCAGUGGCGAAGGCGGCUCACUGGUCCGGUACUGACGCUGAGGUGCGAAAGCGUGGGGAGCAAACAGG
rnacentral:rRNA from 1 species